UGAGAUUUAUCCUGGCUCAGAUUGAACGCUGGCGGCAUGCCUUACACAUGCAAGUCGAACGGCAGCGGGGGAAAGCUUGCUUUCCUGCCGGCGAGUGGCGAACGGGUGAGUAAUACAUCGGAACGUGCCCUGUAGUGGGGGAUAACUAGUCGAAAGAUUAGCUAAUGCCGCAUACGACCUGAGGGUGAAAGUGGGGGACCGCAAGGCCUCAUGCUAUAGGAGCGGCCGAUGUCUGAUUAGCUAGUUGGUGGGGUAAAGGCCUACCAAGGCGACGAUCAGUAGCUGGUCUGAGAGGACGAUCAGCCACACUGGGACUGAGACACGGCCCAGACUCCUACGGGAGGCAGCAGUGGGGAAUUUUGGACAAUGGGGGCAACCCUGAUCCAGCAAUGCCGCGUGUGUGAAGAAGGCCUUCGGGUUGUAAAGCACUUUUUCC
rnacentral:rRNA from 1 species